rnacentral:rRNA from 1 species
CAUGGAGGGUGAGAAUCCCGUCCGGCUGACCUUCAGGACGUUUUACGAUACGCUCUCAAAGAGUCGAGUUGUUUGGGAUUGCAGCUCAAAAUGGGAGGUAAAUUUCUCCUAAGGCUAAAUACCGGCGAGAGACCGAUAGCGAACAAGUACCGUGAGGGAAAGAUGAAAAGAAUUUUGAAAAGAAAGUCAAACAGUACGUGAAAUUGUUGAAAGGGAAACGAUUGAAGCCAGUCGUACCGACGGGAAUUCAACUUCUCGAGUGCUAAUCGUGGGUGACGUUGAGCCUCACGGCCCUCGUUGCUUGUGUUGUUGGUGCUUUUGGGGUGUACUUUUCCGUAUGGUAGGUCAGCAUCGAUUUCGAUCGUCAUAAAAUGAUCGGGGGAAUGUAGCUUCGGUCUCGUAUCGGAGUGUUAUAGACCUUGGUAGAUGUGACGAUUGGGAUCGAGGAUUGCAACGAAUACCCUCUGGGCUAUCCGUCUGACCUCUGAAAGUCGCUCGGGUGUCGAAAGCGUGCUUAUGGCUAUUCGAGUUGGCGGUCAACAGGUUAGAACGUGAUUACAUUCGUUAAGGAUGUUGACGUAAUGG